GACGAACGCUGGCGGCGUGCUUAACACAUGCAAGUCGAACGGAAAGGCCCUGCUUUUGUGGGGUGCUCGAGUGGCGAACGGGUGAGUAACACGUGAGUAACCUGCCCUUGACUUUGGGAUAACUUCAGGAAACUGGGGCUAAUACCGGAUAGGAGCUCCUGCUGCAUGGUGGGGGUUGGAAAGUUUCGGCGGUUGGGGAUGGACUCGCGGCUUAUCAGCUUGUUGGUGGGGUAGUGGCUCACCAAGGCUUUGACGGGUAGCCGGCCUGAGAGGGUGACCGGCCACAUUGGGACUGAGAUACGGCCCAGACUCCUACGGGAGGCAGCAGUGGGGAAUAUUGCACAAUGGGCGGAAGCCUGAUGCGGCAACGCCGCGUGCGGGAUGACGGCCUUCGGGUUGUAAACCGCUUUCGCCUGUGACGAAGCGUGAGUGACGGUAAUGGGUAAAGAAGCACCGGCUAACUACGUG
rnacentral:rRNA from 1 species